UCCUUGGUUUGUUCUAGUGGGAGUGUGAGUCAAGAGAGGAUAAGUUGAGGAUAGAGGUCCCCCAAGGACCCCUUUUAUAGGGUCUUGGGGGGCGUUUCCCCAUUCAAUCGAGUGGGGCCCACGCCAUUAAGGUACCCCAAUAAGGAAUGCCUUAAUGGCGAAGGUCCGCUCAAGUAACGGCUGGGAGUCGGCGAUUCAGGUAUGGGAAUCGCCGAUCCAGAGGUUCAAUCGCCGACUCCCCAUGAGCCUAGUGGCAGCCUACCAGAGCUGUCCACGAGGCGUAGAGUUGGCGAUUCCCCCCUGGAGUCGGCGACUUGGUAGUCCCAAUCGGCGACUCCCGAGUGUUAACUUGAGCUCUUGACGUAGACACGUGCUCCGCACCGUGGAAGCCUUUCCGGGGGUCUGGCAUAUAGCGACGGAACCCUAUUCCUUGUUUGAAGGGCGUUGCUGGGAGUGACUGACGUAAUCAGGCAUGUCUCACCAGUACUCCCCCCUGAAGAGAGUAUGACUGAACACCCGUGUACCGCCAGUAUCCCCCCCCCAAGCAAGGUGAUCCGCAUCAAGGCCAAAGCGACAAGAUGGGAUCGAGUCAAUGUGGCCACAGCGACACGAUGACUCCGUUACCCAUGCACUAUCAGAUGGGUUGAUUCACUAUUAGAAUCUAGUU
rnacentral:lncRNA from 1 species